AUUGAACGCUGGCGGCAUGCUUUACACAUGCAAGUCGAAUGGUAACAGGUUAAGCUGACGAGUGGCGAACGGGUGAGUAAUGCAUCGGAACGUGCCUGAUCGUGGGGGAUAACGCAGCGAAAGCUGCGCUAAUACCGCAUACGAUCGGAGGAUGAAAGCGGGGGACCGGCAGGCCUCGCGCGAGCGGAGCGGCCGAGGUCAGAUUAGGGAGUUGGUGGGGUAAAGGCUCACCAAGCCAACGAUCUGUAGCUGGUCUGAGAGGACGACCAGCCACACUGGGACUGAGACACGGCCCAGACUCCUACGGGAGGCAGCAGUGGGGAAUUUUGGACAAUGGGCGAAAGCCUGAUCCAGCAAUGCCGCGUGCAGGAAGAAGGCCUUCGGGUUGUAAACUGCUUUUGUACGGAGCGAAAAGGCCCUCUCUAAUACAGGGGGCUCAUGACGGUACCGUAAGAAUAAGCACCGGCUAACUACGUGCCAGCAGCCGCCGUAAUAC
rnacentral:rRNA from 1 species